UACGGGGGGGGCAAGCGUUGUUCGGAAUUACUGGGCGUAAAGGGCUCGUAGGCGGCCAACUAAGUCAGACGUGAAAUCCCUCGGCUUAACCGGGGAACUGCGUCUGAUACUGGUUGGCUUGAGUGUGGGAGAGGGAUGCGGAAUUCCAGGUGUAGCGGUGAAAUGCGUAGAUAUCUGGAGGAACACCGGUGGCGAAGGCGGUUCUCUGGGCCUGUACUGACGCUGGAGGAGCGAAAGCGUGGGGAGCGAACAGG
rnacentral:rRNA from 1 species